rnacentral:lncRNA from 1 species
UUUCUUACUGCCGUAAGUCCACAGUCAUCCUCCACGCCAAGUUGGAAGAUUGAGACCAAGUAUUCAACAAGAGUGCUCACUGGAAACUGGACAGAAGAGAGGAGGAAGGGGCUCCCAUACAAACACCUGAUCACCCACCACCAGGAGCCCUCACAGCGCUAUCUGAUCAGCACCUACGACGACCAUUACAACCGGCAUAACUAUCACCCAGGCUUGCCGGAGCUCCGCACAUGGAACAGACAUAAGCUGCUGUGGCUCCCAGAGAAAGCCGACUUCCCUCUACUCGGUCCCCCUACAAACUACGGACUCUACGAACAGAUGAAGCAGAAAUGGCUCCCACCACCAGAGGUCACCCUCAGAGAGAGCAUUUACACUUCCUCCUACCCCAGACCACCAGCAGGUGCCAUGUCCCAGAGGGAGCAUGCGAUUCCGGUGCCUCCCCCUCGCCUGCAGCCUGUCCCACACUUCUGA